rnacentral:rRNA from 1 species
GAUGAACGCUGGCGGCGUGCCUAAUACAUGCAAGUCGAGCGAACGGACGAGAAGCUUGCUUUUCUGAUGUUAGCGGCGGACGGGUGAGUAACACGUGGAUAACCCACCUAUAAGACUGGGAUAACUUCGGGAAACCGGAGCUAAUACCGGAUAAUAUUUUGAACCGCAUGGUUCAAAAGUGAAAGACGGUCUUGCUGUCACUUAUAGCUUGAUCCGCGCUGCAUUAGCUAGUUGGUAAGGUAACGGCUUACCAAGGCAACGAUGCAUAGCCGACCUGAGAGGGUGGUCGGACACACGGGAACUGAGAAACGGUCCAGACUCCUACGGGAGGCAGCAGUAGGGAAUCUUCCGCAAUGGGGGAAAGCCUGACGGAGCAACGCGGCGUGAGUGAUGAAGGUCUUCGGAUCGUAAAACUAUGUUAUUAGGGAAGAACAUAUGUGUAAGUAACUGUGCACAUCUUGACGGUACCUAAUCAGAAAGCCACGGCUAACUACGUG